UACGUAGGGCGCGAGCGUUGUCCGGAUUUAUUGGGCGUAAAGAGCUCGUAGGCGGCUCAGUAAGUCAGGUGUGAAACCUCCAGGCUCAACCUGGAGACGCCACCUGAUACUGCUGUGGCUAGAGUCCGGUAGGGGAGCGUGGAAUUCCUGGUGUAGCGGUGAAAUGCGCAGAUAUCAGGAGGAACACCAGCGGCGAAGGCGGCGCUCUGGGCCGGAACUGACGCUGAGGAGCGAAAGCGUGGGUAGCAAACAGG
rnacentral:rRNA from 1 species